rnacentral:tRNA from 1 species
ACAUUGGUGGUUCACUGGUAAAAUUUCAUCUUCCAUACUGGAGACCUGGGUUCAAUUCCUGGCCAGUGCA